AUUGAACGCUGGCGGCAGGCCUAACACAUGCAAGUCGAGCGGAGCGGCGGACGGGUGAGUAAUGCCUAGGAAUCUGCAUGGUAGUGGGGGAUAACGUCAGGAAACGGGCGCUAAUACCGCAUACUAUCAGAUGAGCCUAGGUCGGAUUAGCUAGUUGGUGGGGUAAAGGCCUACAAAGGCGACGAUCCGUAACUGGUCUGAGAGGAUGAUCAGUCACACUGGAACGUGGACACGGUCCCGACUCCUACGGGAGGAAGCGGUGGGGAAAAUUGGCAAAUGGGCGAAAGCCUGGUCCAGCCAUGCCGCGUGUGUGAAGGAGGUCUUCGGAUUGUAAAGCACUUUAAGUUGGGAGGCGUUACCAACAGAAUAAGCACCGGCUAACUUCGUGCCAGCAGCCGCGGGAAUAC
rnacentral:rRNA from 1 species